rnacentral:rRNA from 1 species
AACGAACGCUGGCGGCAUGCCUAACACAUGCAAGUCGAACGAGACCUUCGGGUCUAGUGGCGCACGGGUGCGUAACGCGUGGGAACCUGCCCUUAGGCUCGGAAUAACUCCCCGAAAGGGGUGCUAAUACCGGAUAAUGUCUUCGGACCAAAGAUUUAUCGCCUUUGGAUGGGCCCGCGUUGGAUUAGCUAGUUGGUAGGGUAAAAGCCUACCAAGGCGACGAUCCAUAGCUGGUCUGAGAGGAUGAUCAGCCACACUGGGACUGAGACACGGCCCAGACUCCUACGGGAGGCAGCAGUGGGGAAUAUUGGACAAGGGGCGAAAGCCUGAUCCAUCAAUGCCGCGUGAGUGAUGAAGGCCUUAGGGUUGUAAAGCUCUUUUAACCGGGAUGAUAAUGACAGUACCGGGAGAAUAAGCGCCGGCUAACUCCGUG